UGCGGAGACCUCCGGGCCUGCAGGGGGCGCCUGGUGCAGCGGAGCGCCCUAAUCUUAGGCAGGGCCGGGGCUGCGCAGUCAUGAUCACUGCCAAGGCCUCGGCGGACUCCGCCGUCCCCUCGGUGCAUGGUACUGCGGUGGCCACCGGUGUCCCGGAGCGCGAGGAGCCAGAGUGGCCCUGGAAAGAUGCCCCGAUCCGGGCGCUGGUGCAGCGCAUCCACCAGUUGCAGGCUGAGCGCGCGCAGGCCUUCCGCCGGCUGGAGGACCUCAGGACCCCCACCUGCCGCAGAGGCCACCUCCAGUACCUGCGAAGCGGCCCGCCCUACGACUUUCCCCGCUACCGGAGCACGGUGCACGAGGUGACCCAGGCCUUCGCCGCCGCCUCGCGGGAGGUGCUGGCGGUGGAGGCCGAGCUGUCUGGGCCCAGAGGGCAGCCGCUGCUCGCGAGCCACGUGCGAAGCCUGCAACAGCUGGAGCAGACGCGCCUGGCAACGGUUCUGGCCCUACUCCUCCCCUGGGUUCCAAGACCCCGCCUACUCUACCCCUACAGCCAAUCCCGACCGAGACGCACUUCCCAGGCCGAGCCCACGUGGCCCUGCUGCAGCUGAUGGGGACGCCAGAGCUGACUGGGCAGGAAGACACCCUGGAGACGCACCAGCUGAAGAUGAAGGUAAUUAAAACCAUGGAAGCGAUCAGCGAGGUUCUUCAGGACCUUAGGUUUGAUGCAGAAUCUGCCGAGUGAUGGUGGCUCCCCAGUGACACACCAAGGGAUAUGGGAAAUGUCCCCAAGCCUACCCCUUGACUGUCAGCUGGCUGGGGUCACGCUCCACCAGGUCGCCGACUGCCCUUGAGUUUGCUGCACCUCCCACAAUAAAGAACCCUUCGUCUGUA